UACAGAGGUCUCAAGCGUUGUCCGGAUUUAUUGGGCGUAAAGAGCGUGUAGGCGGCCAGGUAGGUCAGCUGUGAAAACUCGAGGCUCAACCUCGAGACGUCGGCGGAAACCAUCUGGCUAGAGUCCGGAAGAGGAGAGUGGAAUUCCUGGUGUAGCGGUGAAAUGCGCAGAUAUCAGGAAGAACACCCGUGGCGAAGGCGGCUCUCUGGGACGGUACUGACGCUGAGACGCGAAAGCGUGGGGAGCGAACAGG
rnacentral:rRNA from 1 species